GUGGAUUUCAAAAGCUUCUUCCCUUAAAUCACUGCCUAAAAACUGCUUUUUGUAAUUUGUCAUAAUGACUUGCAAAAUAUAGGUGGGAUGAAAACAUAAACAUAAGACAUUUUAUAGUGGCCUGAUAUUUUUAUCAAGGCUGUUUUUUUGAAAAUAAUCCUGGCCUAAUUUACAAAAGAUGAACUGUCUGAAAGUCAUGUUUGUUUGUUUGUUUAAGAAAUGUGGGAAUCUCCAGCAAAGAUCUUACAUGCAACAGCUCAGAUACAGCACUCACUUCUGUUCUUUUUAUCAUGAAAUGAUCUACAAAGAAAUGAUCAUCAUACUAAAUUUUGCUAAUUAGGCCUUUAUAUCAGCUAUGAUAAGUUUAUUAUAGAUUUAGUGUAGUGCUUAUUGCUGUGUAUCAAACAUGCCCCAAAUGUGACUGAAAUAUGUAGAAACUGCUGUGUAGAAACUAGCUGUCUCCAAAUUUCUCAUUUUGCCAAAAUACAUACAGAGUGGCUUGAAACUGUCUGCUCUAACCUCAGUGUGUUGGUUUUGUUGGACCAUAUAAUAUUUACAGUAAGUUACUGUAGCAGCACGUCUUGGUGUAAGUUUAUAGAGUGUUUUUUUUUUUUUAUUGUGUUAAUAGAAUUUGAAUGCAGGCCACCUCAAAUGUCAAAGCCUACAAACAUUCCAUACAAGCUAUCAUUUGUGAUUGUUGCCUACUUUUAAAUUGUGACAUCACCAUUUGAUAAAGUGUGUAGUAGUAGGUGAAGCAAAUCAUUGGUUACGAUCUCUACUCUCUUAUGUAACUGAACCUAAAUUUUGGAGCAUUACAUGACUCAGAAACUUGUGUGGCUUAUUGCAAAUGGAUAAAACUACAUAUUACCUUUUAUGAAGAUGAUCAUCUUUAUUAGGGUGCGGAAAAAGAAAACAGAGGAGAGUUGUUGUUGUCUAAUGCCGAUUGGAGUUGUCUGAGCCUGUAUUUUUGUUCUUUGUCUUUUGUUACACAGAGUGAACAGCUCUUUGGCUUUGCCUUUGCUGGUAAGUAGACAGUAAUGGUAAUGUUUAGUAAUUUACUUACAGUAGUUUGGGUAUUUGUGUUAUCUUGCCAUUCACUCAUGGGCAAAGACAAAUAGUCAGGAUUUAGAAUCUGUAGCAGCAAAGCCCCCACACAGGACGACUGACUGCCCCAGAAAAUGUCAAUGAAGUUUAAUAGCCCAUUAAUGUCUGAUUUUAAUUUUUGAUGGCUUAUCAAGUCCAAACAUAGUUAAAUGUCAGAGACAUCUUUAUGCAGUUGUUUGAUUUCUC
ensembl:lncRNA